GCAGUGGCAAUCAAUAUGGUGGUGCUCCAAGCUUCCAUACCAGGUAUGGCAUCGAUUCCUAUUCUCUAAUUCCUUUUCAGUGUCAUCCAUACCUGAUGAACUUUCACUUGCAUCAUUCAUAACAGCAGUAGCAACAACCAGACCAGUGGCGCUGCAAGUUUACCUGCCAGGUUAGUAUAACUUCCUUGUUUCCAGCUUAUAUACCACUGCUGAUAAUUAAUCAAUUAUCAUCUGGCAUAACAGUGGCGGCUCUGGUGAAGGUCUCAGCUUCCAUGAUAGGUACUGUAUCCCUAAAAUAUGCUUGUACCUUAUAAGUCAUAACAUCAUGUCACUCCACAGAGAGGCACAUGGUCACCUACUUUGCCGUUCACCUGUGCCCAUGCUAUGCCGUGUGCUUCACAUUUAUGAAACAAACAGAAACAUCCGAUUGCAUUGUUAGCUACCAAUAUUUGCUCUUAGAUCAUACUCCCUCUGUUCGGAAUUACUUGUCUCGGAAAUGGAUGUAUUUAGAACUAAAAUAUGUCUAGAUACAUCCAUUUCUGCGACAAUUAAUUUCGAAUGGAGGGAGUAUGUGGCGAUUGGAUGGAUUGCCUAGUUGAAUUAUCUGAUGUAUGCAUUUAUACCUCUUUAAUAUGCAUCUCACUUGAUAGAGGCACAUGUCACCAACUUUGGAGUUCACCUAUGCCCACACAUACCGCGUCCUUGAAAUUCAUGAAAUAUAGAAGAAAAUGUCUGAUUGUAUUGGUGAAACUUUUGGUGUAGCUGAAUCAAACUGUAUUUUAUGGUUGACAAAUUGAGUUAACUGCCACUUCACUUCAUCCUGCUGACAACUUUAUUUCAUCAUAUCAAGUUUAUCGCGGGUGUGAUGUAUCUACAAAGGCUAUAUAUAAUUUAAUGACCCGCUUUGUUCGAUUGGCAGGUUCUAUAGCGGCAAUUCCCGUGGUGGUGACCGUGCUAGGAGCAGGAGCCCUCCCAAGGCCGUGGGGGUCUCCAACUGGUAAAAUGCAUCACGAUGGUGAUGAAACAACGGAGUAGAUGGAGUUGGUUCCCUAACCAAAUCGUAGUAUCAGUCAUGUUGGUUUAAGCAAAGCGUGUCCUGGAACUUUGCUGACAUAGGUUAAGCGUGUCGGAUAUUUUGCUAUGUUGAUGUGGUGGUGCCUCGGAGGCGCUUUAUACGGUGUCCGUAUGCUGGCGUUAGUACUCUAUGAAACCUGGAACCUCGGACCUCUUUAUGCCUGGUAGUCGUGUUAUAAUCCUUAGGAAACCGGACCGGUUGAGCCAUGAAUUUUGGACGGAACCAUGUAAGUUAUGUUGGCUGUUGUAAAUGCUCUCGGCAUGGCUUGAUGUUGAACUGAAAUGCCCGACGUGAACUGCUGAACUAUCCUGCACAUGUGUGCCUUGCUUGUGCUCUAGCAUGUUU
rnacentral:lncRNA from 1 species